UCAAAGGCCGCAUCACUGGAGCAUUUUAAAGCAGGGAUGCAAUUGCAAAAGCACCAGUCAGAGCUCAGAAUCCUGUUCCAGUUGGGAUAUACACAUGGACUUCACAAAUGAAUGUAAGGAAGAUACUCUUGUGAAGUAUGAAUUCAUCUCCUAGAAACUUUAUUUCCCGUGGGCUUCUCACCCACUGAAACAAGACAUUUCAGGACUUUAGGUAAAAGGCAAAUAUUCAGUAGAGCAACUCAGUUACUUCUCAGAUUUGACUCAAAUUAAAAAAACUGCAUCAAAUGCAACAACACCAUAGGCUUGACUGUCAGACUCGAGAGAGGGUGUAGGAGUGAGAGCAAGGAUUACUAACUUAGUUAUUAAAGUUAUGUAUCAAGAACUAAGCCUGGACAAUGGAGUUUCUUUCUUAAAAAUAAAAAAGAAGUCCUUUCACUUUUAAAAC
rnacentral:lncRNA from 1 species